rnacentral:lncRNA from 1 species
CCUCUUCAGGAGAAAUGGAUAUCCAGGCCUCGAGGCUCCUGGCAGCCUGCCCGUUUGGCAGCCUCUGCCAGAACAGUCCGUGGAGUACAGACUGCUCCCUGUCUUCUCCCAGUCUGGUCCCUGGAGAGACUCCAAUCUCCCUGCUCGAGUCCUUCCCUUUUCUGCUUAUCAUGGGGAAGGAAUAUGCGUCUAGGCGUUAAAUCGCUCGAGUGCCAGCUGGCACAGCACAGCCACAGGGCCCCAGCAGGAGCGGGCCUCAGUUCUCAGAGAGCUGCACAAAGACCAAAGCAAAUUUAUUACUGUUUUUCAGUUUACAAAUGGGAAAUCCACAACAUUGGUCAAGAAGAAAAGGCACCAUGAAUGGGAAGACCGAAGUGCAGACAACCAGCUGGAACAAGGGUGAAAAUAUAGGAGAUUACGAUCCAUUCCUGGGUGGACGGCCAGCGUUCCAUCUUCACUAACACGAUAUAGUUGAAGAGCAUCAGGUAUCCGAUAUACGCCAGCUGUAAGGAGACACAAUACAGUGCUCUGGCUGUUCAGGCCCAGGAGCCCCAGCAUCAGCCAAGGCCACUGCACAGCAGCACAGAGCAGGGUCAGCAAGCAGGACACAGACUUUAUGACAAAAGGAACUUGAAGGUGCUAAACUAACAAAAGAAUUAGAAAAGACAGUAAUACUUGAAGGAUUAUAAUAUGCAAUCUUCCUUUUGACCUGUACAUGUAUCUCUGGGGCUCUGGUGCUUCGUUUAAAUCUAUGUGUCAUGAUGCAUCAUUUCGCCUUGCAGUUACCCAUUUUUGUGUGUUUUCUUGGCUAAAAAGGGAGCCUUGGCUGUCAGUGGCGGCUCUUGCUCAGGCGUGGACCUUAGGUUCUUAAACUAGGGCAGCACAGUGGAUUUUUGCCUCACGAAUGCCAGGCAGAAUAAGUGUCUGUGAGAAGCAAAGGAAGAGGAAGACACAUGUAACACCUGUAAAUUGGUCAAACCAACAUAAAAAUAGCCCAGGCUUAAAGUGCUUCGCUUGUCAGUGCCCUGGGAGGGUCUUACCUGUUUUCAUUUCACCACUUUCCUGUCCUAAUCAAGUUAAGAUAAGAUAUUCCUUCCUGGUGUCUGCUUCAUUGAAACAACACAAGAAAAGACAACACAGUUUACAGAAAGGAAAGGGUCCGUGUGGCCUUUUGUGGACGGGUGUGGGGUUUAAUCCCCAAGAGGCUCUGGCUCGUGGGGUUGAAUCCUGAUGUGACUGGCUGAAUUGCUGGAUGUCUGGGAAGAACUCCCUAGGGUUUGGUGACUGCUCCUGGAAGAUUCAGUUGUGUCAAGGGUCUCACUCUCGUCACCCAGGCUGGAGUGCAGUGG